rnacentral:rRNA from 1 species
UACGAGGGGGGCGAGCGUUGUUCGGAAUUAUUGGGCGUAAAGGGUGCGUAGGCGGUUUGGUAAGUCUUGUGUGAAAUCUCCGGGCUCAACUCGGAGCCUGCACGAGAAACUGCCGGGCUUGAGUAUGGGAGAGGUGAGUGGAAUUCCUGGUGUAGCGGUGAAAUGCGUAGAUAUCAGGAGGAACACCUGUGGCGAAAGCGGCUCACUGGACCAUAACUGACGCUGAUGCACGAAAGCUAGGGGAGCAAAC